AGCGAACGCUGGCGGCAGGCUUAACACAUGCAAGUCGAGCGGGCAUCCUUGUGGUGUCAGCGGCAGACGGGUGAGUAACGCGUGGGAACGUGCCCUUCGGUUCGGAAUAACUCAGGGAAACUUGAGCUAAUACCGGAUACGUGCGAGAGCAGAAAGGUUUAUCUGCCGAAGGAUCGGCCCGCGUCUGAUUAGCUAGUUGGUGAGGUUAUGGCUCACCAAGGCGACGAUCAGUAGCUGGUCUGAGAGGAUGAUCAGCCACACUGGGACUGAGACACGGCCCAGACUCCUACGGGAGGCAGCAGUGGGGAAUAUUGGACAAUGGGGGCAAUCCUGAUCCAGCCAUGCCGCGUGAGUGAUGACGGCCUUAGGGUUGUAAAGCUCUUUUCUGCGGGACGAUAAUGACGGUACCGGAGGAAUAAGCCCCGGCUAACUUCGUG
rnacentral:rRNA from 1 species